AGAGAGCUGCACACGACCGCACCGGAACAAAACCCGGACUUGAUCCCGUCAAAAAAUCCCAUUGCAUAAUCGGCAAUAGGUCCGGACAAUUGCAACUGGAGGAUUUGAUUACUGGGUUUCGGUCAAAAAGCAGCUCAGAAACUGAUGAGAGGAGGAGGAGGAGGAGGAGGAGGAGGCGUUAACACCCAACCCUAAUCGGCUGCUCCCCGACCUCCCGGCGUUCGUCUCCCGGUCACAAUUCGACCUCCCUCUCGUAUCGAUAGGUUCUGGAGCUGAUAUAUUGAGGUUUUUGGCCCCGUUGGCGGUUGAGAAGUAGGAGAUGGAUUUAGUUGGCAGCUGCAAGGACAAGCUACUACAUUUUCGUAUAAGGGAGCUCAAGCAUGUUCUCACUGAGUUGGGUCUUUCAAAGCAGGGGAAGAAACAGGAUCUUGUUGACCGGGUGUUAUCUGUUCUCUCAGAAGAACAAGUGUCAAGGAUGUGGCAGAAGAAGAAUAUUACGAAGGAAGAGGUUGCAAGACUUGUGGAUGAUAUUUACAGAAAAAUGCAGGUAUCUGGAGCCACUGAUUUAGCAUCAAAGGGACAGGGUGCCUCAGAUAGCAGUAAUGUGAAAAUAAAAGGAGAAUAUGAUGAUCCCUUUCGGUCAGAUACCAAGGUCAAAUGUCCUUGUGGAAGCUCUUUGGAGACGGAUUCAAUGAUCAUGUGUGAAGAACCAACAUGCCAUGUUUGGCAGCAUAUGAGCUGCGUUUUAAUUCCUGAAAAACCAAUGGAGGGCAAUCAUCUACCUGUUCCUGAAGUAUUUUACUGUGAAAUAUGUCGUCUCCAUCGAGCAGAUCCGUUUUGGGUGACUAUGACUAAUCCUUUGAAUCCUGUUAAGCUUCCUGUUACCAGUAUUCCAACGGAUGGCGCAAAUCCAGUGCAAAGUGUAGAUAGAACUUUCCAGCUUACUAGGGCGGACAAAGACUUGCUUUCAAAACCGGAAUAUGAUGUUCAGGCUUGGUGUAUGCUCUUAAACGACAAAGUUUCCUUUAGGAUGCAGUGGCCACAAUAUGCAGAUCUGCAGGUCAAUGGAAUGCCAGUUCGUGCAAUUAAUAGGCCUGGCUCGCAGCUGCUUGGGGCCAAUGGUCGUGACGAUGGUCCAAUUAUAACACCAUGUACAAAAGAUGGAAUCAACAAGAUCUCCUUAACAGGAUGUGAUGCUCGGAUCUUCUGCCUGGGCGUCAGAAUUGUUAAACGGCGCACCGUUCAACAGAUCCUCAAUUUUAUACCUAAAGAAUCUGAAGGCGAGAAAUUUGAAGAUGCUCUUGGGCGUGUUUGCCGUUGUGUUGGUGGCGGGGGUGCAGCAGAUGCUGAUAGUGAUAGCGAUCUAGAAGUUGUUGCUGAUUCAUUUGCUGUUAAUCUUCGGUGUCCUAUGAGUGGCUCGAGAAUGAAGGUUGCAGGUAGAUUCAAGCCUUGUGCUCACAUGGGGUGUUUUGACCUCGAAGUUUUUGUGGAGAUGAAUCAACGCUCCAGGAAGUGGCAGUGUCCGAUCUGUCUGAAAAAUUAUUGUUUGGAGAACGUCAUUAUCGACCCGUACUUCAAUCGCAUUACGUCUAUGAUGAGACACUGUGGAGAAGAUGUUACGGAGAUUGAUGUGAAGCCUGAUGGUUCUUGGCGUGUAAAGACGAAAUCCGAAAGUGAACGGAGGGAACUUGGAGAUCUGAGCCAGUGGCACCUCCCUGAUGGUACUCUCUGUGUUCCUGCUGAUGAAAAAGUUCUGCCGAAGGCAGAAUUUAUGAUGCAGGUAAAGCAGGAAGGAGGUUCGGACGGUCAUUCCAGAUUAAAACUUGGAAUAAGGAAGAACCAGGAUGGUAUGUGGGAAGUCAGUAAACCUGAUGGAGUGAACAAUUCUUACGGCAAUAGAUUGCAAGAUAAGUUUGAAGAUCACGAACCAAAGGUUAUUCCUAUGAGUAGUAGUGCUACCGGAAGUGGCAAAGAAGGUGAGGACCCAAGUGUUAACCAGGAUGGGGGUGGGAAUUUCGAUUUUUCUGCUAAUAAUGGUAUUGAACUUGAUUCCGUUGCUUUUAAUGUCGACCCUAUAUUUGGAUUGGGUGAGCAAAAUCCUGUUGCAGCUGCUGGGGACCAAGAGGUUAUUGUUCUUAGUGAUUCAGAUGAUGAUAAUGACAUACUAAUAUCUUCUGGGAGUGGCUACAAGGGCAAUCAGUCAGAACCCAGUGGAAUAAAUUUUCCCCUAGCCCAUUCAGUUAUGACUGAUUCGUUUGAAGAUCCUGUCCUUGGUAAUGGUGGGAAUUCAUGCUUAGGACUAUUUAAUCCCAAUGAUGAUGAGUUUGGGGGGAUGCCUCUCUGGCCAUUACCUCCAGGGUCUCAAGCUGGACCUGGCUUUCAAUUAUUUACUUCAGAUGGUGAUGUCUCCGAUGCUAUGGUCGAUAUCCCACACGGUCCAAUAAGCUGUGCUACGACGAUGAACGGCUAUACUAUGGCCCCAGAUGCCAACAUGGGACCUGGUGCACUACUCUCAGAUCCUUCUAUGAACCGGUCAGACACCCAAUUAAAUGAUAAUCUGGUUGAUAACCCGUUAGCAAUUGGUAGGGAUGAUCCCUCUCUUCAGAUUUUCCUUCCAACAAGGCCUUCUGGGACAUCUGCGCAGCCCAACAUGAGAGACCAGGCUGAUAUGUCGAACGGAAUACGCACUGAGGAUUGGAUCUCCCUAAGACUUGGGGGUGGGGCCGCCGGUGGUCAUGGUGAUUCUGGAGAAGCCAAUGGCUUUAGUUCGAGACCGCAAGUUCCCUCUGGAGAUGGCGCCAUGGAUUGUUUGGCUGAUACGGCUUCAUUGCUUCUUGGAAUGAAUGAUGGAAGAUCCGAGAAGGCAAGUAGACAGAGAUCGGACAGCCCCUUCUCAUUCCCACGGCAGAAACGCUCUGUGAGGCCGCGGUUGUACCUCUCUAUCGAUUCGGAUUCCGAUUAGAGGAUUGUUUAGAUGCAGUUUUACUUUCCCACAAUUCAUGUAUACAAAGGAUUCUCCAGGUUGGAUCUGAUGAUCGAGAGCUCUUCAUGCGGACCCAAACUCAGUUGUUUUUAAGAGUCCGAGAUUGUUGAAUUCCCAUGAGGCUGAUAGUCUGGUCCUAAAGAAGUCGAAAUGAACUCAUGGUCUCUUGCGCGGCAUAGCUCGACAAUGACUGCAGGUCUGGGCUUCAGGUAAACUGUACAGUGAUAGCAAAAAGCGACUCUGAACAGGUUUUUGAUUUCGAAAUCAACUGGGAUGAUGCAAUUAGGAAAAAAGUCCUCGCAGAAAGUUUUUGUGCAGUGUUGAGGGCUUGUACCUUUGUAAAUUAAUUAUAAUUGUUAUUAAUUUUAUACUUGGUCUCCCCCUAAUUGAUGGUGAAGGACAAUAGUAUGUAUUCACACCUUCUGUACAUCUCUGUUGGAGGAGCCUCUUUUUUCUGUUCCGGAUGUUUACUGUCCAGACUGAAAUCCCCGCAAUGUUCGUAUGGUGGUUUACUGGUUUGCUUUAGGUAUUAAAAGAGCAACAAGAUUGAUUCUUAAGUGAUUAUGUCUUAUGACGAUGUGGUUAACAAUAAUAAGCACUUGCAAAUUAUGGCAUGUUACUUGCA